AGUUAAGAACUGAAAGACCCCCAGAGUGGGGAGACCCUCACUCAAGUCUCGGGAUGACUCAACCCCCCAAGAACUCAUGUAAGACU
rnacentral:pre_miRNA from 14 species